UAGGGUUUCUUUAAUUAACUAUGUAUAAUUAGAUGGGUUUAUAAUUUGAUCAAAUUAUGAUGGGUUUGCUCAUGAUUGAAGUAUAAUUAGAUGUAUUGGGCUCAAUUUAAGUUUCUUUAAGAAUUAGGUGAAGGGUUUUCUUUGGUUCGAGUGCAAUCUCUUCGCCAGGUCUUUGAAGCGAAAUUUGAAGAAUCCCUGAUGAUAUCUCUGAUUUUCGUUUUUGGUGUCAUUGGUGUGUUGCUUCAUUGAAGAUAUGUCUUUUAAGGUAUAUCACUUUUCUCUUUACUUCCCUGCUUUUCAGUUUUUCAAUUCUAAGUUCCGUAUAGAGUGGUAAAGUAAGCCCGAUUGGAGAUCUUUUAUAUGUUAUUUGGCCUUCAAUUGAUUUGGAGAUCUUUAUAGACAGACAUCACUUGAAAUUCAACCUGGUGAGUCCCCCUCAUUUGCAUUCGUUAGAUGCCCUGUGAUUCUCCUAAUUAAGGCUUUCUUACUUAUGAAAUCCGAAGGUAUUAUUACUUAUUAGAGUUUGCUUCUUCUUCGUCAUAAACUGAUGAUCAGGUAAACUGGAAUCAUCAUCUCUCUUAUAUCAUGUUCGUAGAAUGGAAUCAUCAUCUCUCUUAUAUCAUGUUCUUAUAUGCUUUUUUUCAUAUCUGUUUCCUAACAGACCGUGGAUCAUGGGUUCUCAUUAAUCUGUAGAUUGUUUAGUUAAAUGAUCAACGCAUUCAGGCUAAGUUUUAUUAGCUAUUGAUUUAUAUUUCGUAUUGUUUUUAUAUAUUGCAGGUGAUUAUACAUGGAUUAAUUCUUAGAUUUUGUUUGUUGUCAUGCUGUUUAAUUACCUAAUCUAUUUGAAUUAACGAGUUCUUUCAGUUUUCUUUCUUUUAAAAGAGUUCCCUGUAUUUGUGGGUGUAGGAUAGGCAUAGAAAGUGUGAGACAGAUCCAAAGUCUAAAAUUUUCUCUUGUAUUCUUUUAUGUAAUCUCUCCUGAUUUUUGCUCCACCGCAAAGGACCUUGAUUGACGAUGGAAGCCACGCAAAAUGGUUUGAUUACAGAAAAGAACCAUUUCAUAUAAUUGCAUCAUCCAUUGAGGAAGCAAAGUAAGAGGUUAUCAAUCAGUUAUACGUAAUACCACAGCCGAAAUCUUAUGAAGUUAAUCAAGUAUUGUAACUAUCUUCUAAUAAUUAUUGAACUGAAUUGAUAUUUUUCUAUGAGUUUGUUGAUCAGGAGGGUAACAUUAACAUAAUUGGUUCAGGUGCAAUUGAUGCGGCAAAAGAUGUUAUACUUACCCCAAUCUCUAUAGAUAUACCAUGGCAGCGACAAAUAUUCAAUGGUAGCAUUGACAGAUUUUUUAGGUAGCCAUGGCAUGGGUAGUGGAGUACUCCAUGAUUCCUUCUAUCUGUUGCAACUGUUGCAUCAGACCUCUGCAACAGUUUAUGUACCAAGAAACCUCUCUGGAAAGUAACAGUCUGUGGAUGAAGUUGUAACCAAGUUUGGGGGAUCACCAGUUGGAAAGCUUAAAAAAUCCAAGCAAUAAGGAGACUGCAGAUAUGUAGGUAUGUAACUACAUAGAACAAGAGCUUGAGAAUGUAACAGUAGAGCUUCCGAAGUAUAAAAAAGAGUCUGAGGGUGGCAGAUCCGAACGAAGAACCCAAUUAUAGUAGAGCUAAAUUACGAUCCUAGAGAGAACAGAGAUUGGAGAGUGCCAUGCGAAAAAGGUAUCAGAAAUAGUCAGGCUUAGAGUAGAAGCAAUGCAACGGGGGGUUGGUGAAGAGGUUAAGUCUGGUGUAGAUAUGUACCUUAUGGUUGGAAUAACAAGCAAUAGUUGGCAUAUAAAUGAUGAUGAGGAGGAAAUCCGAUAUCUGUAGAGAUCGAAAACUUGCAAAGACUUCAAGGAAACAAAUGCGUGCUCAUUUACAUCCCGAGGUCUCAACAGGCAUGUUUUCGUGGUUUUCAGGGACGAUUAAGCAAUCUUCCAAGAGUGUUUUGAUUCAAUAAAAGGUACAUUUUCUUACUUCCUCAUUCUGAAAUUUGUUAUGCAUUUGAUUGCAAGGAAACAUAAUUCUUUACACAAAAAAUUCAUGUUGUGUUCUUUACACAAUAUCCAUGUAAAUCUAAAAAGUGACAUGAAAGCCCUCAUUACGGAUGAAUUCCAUAACUGCUGCUAUUUGUGCUUCCAAUUAGAGAUGAUUCUGGAAUCAAAUAACCUUGCGCCUCAACAGAGAAAUAUUACUAGAAUACAUUGAUGGAUAUUGUGUGUGCUCAAAUAAUACAUGGUUUAUAUAGUUUAUUGAUAUCCAUCUAUACACUGAGUAGUGAUUAUGUUUCAAGUCAAGUCCAUGGCAUGGGUUUUUCGCUGGGUCAUGUCCUCACCACUACUUUUUUUGAACUUGGGUGUAACUAAGACUGCUAGACAGAUGGAAAACAAGAAGAAAAGCAAGAUGUGGUGACAAGAUGUGCCUCUGUAAGAAUGUUUAGUUGAAACAUGAUAUGGAGUUGGCAUUUUGCAAUAACCCUUUGGACAAUCCUUAUCCAACAUUGUACAAGCUAGCAGCUGACAAAUUUCACUAAUGAUGAGGUGGGUGAUCUUUGCACUUUUUUUUCAACUGAAUUUUCUCAAUCCCUCCUUCAGUCCUCUUUCUUUCGGCCACCAAUGGUUUUUAAGUGGAAAGACAAACAACAAACCCUUCUCACUGAAAUCAUGUCACGAGAAAGAAUAUUGCUCAUUGAUCUCGAGCCUAGCUACACUUUAAAGUGUGUCUGUUAUUCUUUUGUUUCCGUGAACAUACAUUCUUUCUAAUACAUCUUAGUUCAGUUAAGGCAUGGGUGUUUGUGAACUGAAAUUUGUACUCAGAACAACCCUGAAUACUCCCUUUGUCGAUGGUGUUGUGGUGAUGUGAGUUUUGCUUAAUUCAGGUCAUGCGUUUAU